AGAGUUUGAUCCUGGCUCAGGAGGAACUUUGGCGGCGUGCCUAAUACAUGCCAGUCGAGCGAACAGACGAGGAGCUUGCUCCUCUGACGUUAGCGGCGGACGGGUGAGUAACACGUGGAUAACCUACCUAUAAGACUGGGAUAACUUCGGGAAACCGGAGCUAAUACCGGAUAAUAUAUUGAACCGCAUGGUUCAAUAGUGAAAGACGGUUUUGCUGUCACUUAUAGAUGGAUCCGCGCCGCAUUAGCUAGUUGGUAAGGUAACGGCUUACCAAGGCAACGAUGCGUAGCCGACCUGAGAGGGUGAUCGGCCACACUGGAACUGAGACACGGUCCAGACUCCUACGGGAGGCAGCAGUAGGGAAUCUUCCGCAAUGGGCGAAAGCCUGACGGAGCAACGCCGCGUGAGUGAUGAAGGUCUUCGGAUCGUAAAACUCUGUUAUUAGGGAAGAACAAAUGUGUAAGUAACUAUGCACGUCUUGACGGUACCUAAUCAGAAAGCCACGGCUAACUACGUGCCAGCAGCCGCGGUAAUACGUAGGUGGCAAGCGUUAUCCGGAAUUAUUGGGCGUAAAGCGCGCGUAGGCGGUUUUUUAAGUCUGAUGUGAAAGCCCACGGCUCAACCGUGGAGGGUCAUUGGAAACUGGAAAACUUGAGUGCAGAAGAGGAAAGUGGAAUUCCAUGUGUAGCGGUGAAAUGCGCAGAGAUAUGGAGGAACACCAGUGGCGAAGGCGACUUUCUGGUCUGUAACUGACGCUGAUGUGCGAAAGCGUGGGGGUCAAACAGGAUUAGAUACCCUGGUAGUCCACGCCGUAAAC
rnacentral:rRNA from 1 species